UUGGCAUCCUCUUCAACUUCUCACAAUGCAUUACAGUAAUUUGUUUAAGAGAAUUGCGAAUCAGUUUUGCACUGCAAAUGCUUUUCAGUUGUGGUAACCAUUCCAAUCUCAGAGUUCUUAACUUUGGGAGAAUGACUUCCGUGAUGGAAUUGGAGGUGCUGCUUUCUUCAUCUGUUGUUCCUAUUAUCUCCUCCAUUUUCUCACAUUCACUAACAUAAAUCCUUUCCAGGUUUACGAGGUUUGGCAGCAGCACAAGCGGGAACAGCUUCUUCAUACUGUUACAUCCAUAACAAUAAAACUUCUUAAGACCAGAAAACAUACCAGGUGGUGGAGCAGAGCAUAACCAAGAAGAUGAAACCAAGCUCUCCAUGCUAUCGCAUUUCCCAAUUCUGAUGCGCUCCAGUUCAGUUGCAUUCUCUAAUGACAAAACAUCACAUAAACUUCUUGCAUCGAUGCAUUCACAAUGCAGUCCUUGAAUGCCAUUUAAGAACUUGACCUGAAAAUCUCCAUCUCUGUGGAUACUCAAAUUACCCACCCCAACUGUUUUACUUGGAAAAUCUCCAAUCAAUUGCUCUAUACAUCUAAGCACCUCUCCUACUAAAAUUUUAUAUGUGCUUAAUGAUUGAAUCCCAUCUCGAGAUCUGAGAUACUCCACGAAGUCAGGGAGACCUUCGAAAUGACAUUCCAAAGUUUCUAAAUUUCUCAAGGAUCCUAGUUCCUUUCCUUUAACUGUUAUCGGAGCAUAACUGAUCCCCUUAAGCUCUUCUAGUACAAAAACUUGCAGCUGAGAGAGUUUUGGUAAUAUCCCACUAGGAAACUCCUUUUCACCACAUCCAUUCAUUCUAAGAUACCUCAGGUUGGUUAGGCAUUCCAUUCCUUGCGGCAUCUUUUCAAGUGCAGUACGAGAGAGAUUCAACCUCUUCAGUGCCUUGAGCUUCUCUAAUGAUGGAACAUGUCUUAAUUUCUUACAAUCAUUGAGCAAUAAUGCUGUGAGACUGAAUAAAUCAGAGACAGAGUCUGGCAAAUUUUCAAUACCUGUGCAAGACAGAUCGAGGACCUUGAGCCCAUGCAAUUGCUUGAAAAAUGAAUCCGCAAUAAAUCCCAACAGACGAUUUUGACAUAGCAAUAGAGUUGAUAGAAAGGGACACCUAGGUGAAUAGCUGGAAGGAAUUUCUUUAAUGUAGUUU